rnacentral:lncRNA from 1 species
CCACGGUCGACGGAGUGCCGUGCGAUGCCAUCGGCGACGGCCGCGGCGACGUCGCGGGCAUUCGCACGUGCGACCACAGCCGUCAGUGGUACUGGCGGGACGAGGCCGUCGGGGUGACGGACGUCGUCAAGAACCUGCUCGAUGCCAUCACACGAUGCGCCGAGUACGCGCACGAUACCAUCAGGGCGCCGUUGGCGAGCAAACCUGACACUGAGAUUAUGGAGUUCAGCGUCCGUUGCACCCGCCAGGCGGCGGCCGGAGGCGACGACGUCA